rnacentral:rRNA from 1 species
GACGAACGCUGGCGGCGUGCUUAACACAUGCAAGUCGAACGGGAAGGCCCUGCUUUUGGGGGGUGCUCGAGGGGCGAACGGGGGAGUAACACGUGAGUAACCUGCCCUUGACUUUGGGGUAACUUCAUGAAACUGGGGCUAAUACCGGAUAGGAGUUCCUGCUGCAUGGUGGGGGUUGGAUAGUUUCGGCGGUUGGGGAUGGACUCGCGGCUUAUCAGCUUGUUGGUGGGGUAGUGGCUUACCAAGGCUUUGACGGGUAGCAGGCCUGAGAGGGUGACCGGCCACAUUGGGACUGAGAUACGGCCCAGACUCCUACGGGAGGCAGCAGUGGGGAAUAUUGCACAAUGGGCGGAAGCCUGAUGCAGCAACGCCGCGUGCGGGAUGACGGCCUUCGGGUUGUAAACCGCUUUCGCCUGUGACGGAGCGUGAGUGACGGUAAUGGGUAAAGAAGCACCGGCUAACUACGUG